rfam:Erinaceus europaeus unplaced genomic scaffold scaffold02686, whole genome shotgun sequence
AACCUCCCCGGAUCGCAUCUGGCGAAUAGCCAGUGUUCUGCCAGCUUCGGAGACGGGAGGGAGAGCAGGCCCCGCAGAGGUUCCCAUUCCGCUCCCAGCUUGCCGGUAGCUGGUGAUUGGAAGACACUCUGCUACAGUA